AGUUCAUGAAGUUGAGAAACAUGACUUGGCCCCUAUUUGAAGAACUUAAGGAAAUUGUGGGUGAAGAUCACGCCACAGGGGAAUUUUCUCAAUCAAACAGAGAUUCUUUCCAUCAGAGAAAAGAUAGGGAACAACUUCUGAAGAACCUAGAUCAUACAUCCAUCCAGUGGAUCAUAUGGAGAUUGAUGAGACCGAUGGCAGCGAAGAUUUAAACACCCAAGUCCCAAUGUCCACAUCGCAUUCUAGAGAGGGGAGUGGAGUUGGUGCACCUCGAGAGAGAAAGACAACAAAGGUAGCAUUGGAUGGCCAAAUAUCUAUUGUUGCCUCUUCUAUAGAUCAUUUGGCAACUGUGGUUCGAGAGAGGCAUGUCUCUCCUAAAGCAUUGUUUGAUGCUAUACUAGAAGUAGAUGGAUUUAGCAAAGAUACACUUGAUAUCGUCUUUGAUUUCCUCAUAGUAAAUGAACCUCAAGCAAAGGCAUUUUUAGUUGGGGAUGUGGAGCAACGGAGGAGGUGGGUCUUGAAGUUUCUUGAUCAAGGCCAUUGAUGUGGUAAGAUAAAUACAAUCAUUAGCUGUUUCAUUCAGGUUUAGGAUGCGAUUGGUUGUCACUUGGAACAGAUUGACCUGUUUUUAGUUGCCAUAGCAUUAGAGUUCAUAUUGUUUACACCGAAAUGAACACAUAUCCAUUUAUCAAUUAUAUUUGGAUGAGUAAUAGAAUUUGUUUCAUUCCCUAAAAAUGUAGAAUGAAUUACUUUUUACUAAACUACUAGCAUGUCUGAGAUGAUUCUAUUUGCAAUGAGAAAUUCGAAUUCAAAUUCUCAUUUUCAGAGUGGCAAAAGCUGUCUCACCUUAAGUUAAGAAUCAUGGAUAAAGAAAUGUUCACUAAGGGUGGUUUUGUUGGUGAAACCUUGUACUUAUGUCCUUUAACUUGAACAACGUUUAAAUUCUACUUUUUUAUGAUCAGAAAGAGUUCUCACAGUACAUGAAAAUUGUCUUUGUAAUUUAAUAGCUAAAUCCUUGCAUUUCUUAAGUGCCUUCCUCUUCUUUUUCUUCUUCUUCUUUUGUUUGUUUGUUCUAUGCAGAGUUCAUCUAGGAGGGAUACUAAUUGAAGGAAAUGACAAGGGAUUCAUAGAAGUGCAACCAAGUUUAUAUAAUGUUGUGCUUGAAGAUGAUCCUUACAAGGGCGAGAUCAAAAUUGGCUUUAAAUUCAAGAAAAUGUAAAAGUGCAAAAGGAAACAAGAGUAUGUACUGAGUUGGACAAGUAAAUACCGGAGUCAAUAUAUGGAACACUCUUUAGUUUCAGGAGAAUUCCUUGGUUGAAA